GACGAACGCUGGCGGCGUGCUUAACACAUGCAAGUCGAACGAAGUGGCGAACGGGUGAGUAACGCGUAAUCCACCUGCCCUUCAGAGGGGGAUAACAGUUGGAAACGACUGCUAAUACCGCAUACUGAAGGAGGGGUUUGCGUCUGAUUAGCUAGUGGGAGGGGUAACGGCCCACCAAGGCGAUGUUCAGUAGCCGGUCUGAAGGGAGGAACGGCCAAAUUGGGACUGGGACACGGCCCAGAAUCCUACGGGGGGCAGCAGUGGGGAAUCUUCCGCAAUGGACGAAAGUCUUACGGAGCAACGCCGCGGGAGUGAUGACGGCCUUCGGGUUGUAAAGCUCUGUUAAUCGGGACGCGGUACCGGAAUAGAAAGCCACGGCUAACUACGUGCCAGCAGCCGCGGUAAUUC
rnacentral:rRNA from 1 species